AUUGAACGCUGGCGGCAUGCCUUACACAUGCAAGUCGAACGGCAGCACGUCCCCUCGGGGAUGGUGGCGAGUGGCGAACGGGUGAGUAAUACAUCGGAACGUACCCAGGAGUGGGGGAUAACGUAGCGAAAGUUACGCUAAUACCGCAUAUUCUGUGAGCAGGAAAGCGGGAGAUCGCAAGACCUCGCGCUCUUGGAGCGGCCGAUGUCGGAUUAGCUAGUUGGUGAGGUAAGAGCUCACCAAGGCGACGAUCCGUAGCAGGUCUGAGAGGAUGAUCUGCCACACUGGGACUGAGACACGGCCCAGACUCCUACGGGAGGCAGCAGUGGGGAAUUUUGGACAAUGGGGGCAACCCUGAUCCAGCCAUGCCGCGUGAGUGAAGAAGGCCUUCGGGUUGUAAAGCUCUUUCGGCGGGGAAGAAAUGGCAACGGCUAAUAUCCGUUGUUGAUGACGGUACCCGCAUAAGAAGCACCGGCUAACUACGUGCCAGCAGCCGCCGUAAUAC
rnacentral:rRNA from 1 species